UUAUUAAAAAAUUUAGUGUUAUUUUAAGUUAAUUUGAUAAAAUUUUUUGUAUUAGUAUGUGUAGAAAUUAAAAUUUAGUUUGAACUGUGAAGGACCCUAUAAAAUACGCUAAGAAUUAUGUUGAUAGUACCUUUUGUAUCAGGGUGAAUUAACUAAUCAAAUUAAAUUUAUUUUCCCGAAUUUGAAUGAUCAAUUUUUGUAUUAUAUAUUUGUGUCAAAAGAUUUUGUAAUACUCUAUUAGUAAUUAUAUGUUAGUCGUUUUCUAUUUAUCUGGUUAUUAAGGAAUUUAAAUUUAAUUUUACACUUUGAGUUACUAUUGUAUUUUUAAUAGAUAUAUUUAAGUGUUAAUUUAUUGGGGAUAAUCUCAGUAAAUAAAUUAUUAUACGAGUUUGUUUUUUGUUUUUUUUCUUUUAAAUUUUGUAUUUAGUUUGUAUUAAAUUGGUUAAAUUUAUUAUCAUUUUUUUGUAUAUAUUUUUAUACUUAAUUCAUAGGUUUAAUUUUUAAUCUUAUUUAAUAAUGAUUUAAUUAGUAUAAUAAAAUAAAUUAAAGUAAAUGAACUCGACAAAUAUUAUUUCCAACUGUUUAUCAAAAACAUUUCUUUUUGGUUUUAUAGAAAGUAUCUUCUGCCCUAUGGUUAAAUUUCUAAAUGGCUGCAGUAUUUUGACUGUGCAAAGGUAGCAUAGUAAUUAGUUUUUUGAUUGGAAGCUGGUAUGAAUGGGUGUAUGAGAAUUAUAUUUUAUUUCUUUAAAUAUUAAAAUUUAAAUUUAAGGUUAAAAUGCUUUAUUGAUUUAUUGGGACGAUAAGACCCUAUAGAACUUUAUAUAAUUUAGUAUUAUUAGGUUUUGUGGUGAUAUACUUUUUAAUAUAAAUAUAUUAUAUUUUGCUGGGGUGGCAGUUAAAUAAUUAACUUUAGUUUUAAAAAUCAUUUGUUUAUGUAAUUCUAGAUCCUUACUCAGGAAAUAAGACUUAGUUACCUUAGGGAUAACAGCGUAAUUUUAAUGGGGAGUUCAUAUCUAUAUUAUAUUUUGCGACCUCGAUGUUGAAUUAAGAAAAUUAUAAGAAGCAGUAUUCUUAAUAAUAAGUCUGUUCGACUUUUAAAUUCUUACAUGAUUUGAGUUCAAACCGGCGUGAGCCAGGUUGGUUUCUAUCUGAUAAAAGUAUUAUUUACAUUUAGUACGAAAGGACCAGUGUAAAUUACCUAUGAGGUAAAUAUUUUUAAUUA
rnacentral:rRNA from 1 species